AUACGUAGGGAGCAAGCGUUAUCCGGAUUUAUUGGGUUUAAAGGGCGCGUAGGCGGGACGUCAAGUCAGCGGUAAAAGACUGCAGCUAAACUGUAGCACGCCGUUGAAACUGGCGCCCUCGAGACGAGACGAGGGAGGCGGAACAAGUGAAGUAGCGGUGAAAUGCAUAGAUAUCACUUGGAACCCCGAUAGCGAAGGCAGCUUCCCAGGCUCGAUCUGACGCUGAUGCGCGAGAGCGUGGGUAGC
rnacentral:rRNA from 1 species